UGUGCAAAGGUAGCAUAAUCAGUUGGCCUAUAAUUGAGGUCUAGUAUGAACGAAAUAAUGGGGAUAAUCUUUAUCCGUAGUGUAUUCAAAAUUUACUUAGUAGGUGAAAAAUCCUUCAUCUUAAAUAAUAGACGAGAAGACCCUAGAAAUUUUCUAGAACAAGGUUCCCCUUGCUUUUUGUUGGGGCGACAUAGUAGCAAAGAACCUACUAGGAUUUAUGAGAUUUUCAUUUUAUGUAUAAAUAAAUUACUCUAGGGAUAACAGCAUAAUAUUAGAAAGUUUGUGACCUCGAUGUUGGACUAGGAAAAUAUAGCCCAGAAGGUUAUUAUUAAGGCUCUGUUCGAGCUUUGGAUUCCUACAUGAUCUGAGUUCAAAUCGA
rnacentral:rRNA from 1 species